GACGAACGCUGGCGGCGUGCUUAACACAUGCAAGUCGAACGGAAAGGCCCUGCUUGCAGGGUACUCGAGUGGCGAACGAGUGAGUAACACGUGGGUGAUCUGCCCUGCACUUCGGGAUAAGCCUGGGAAACUGGGUCUAAUACCGGAUAUGACCUUCCAUGUAGUGUGGGGGGUGGAAAGAUUUAUCGGUGUGGGAUGAGCCCGCGGCCUAUCAGCUUGUUGGUGGGGUAAUGGCCUACCAAGGCGUCGACGGGUAGCCGGCCUGAGAGGGUGGACGGCCACAUUGGGACUGAGAUACGGCCCAGACUCCUACGGGAGGCAGCAGUGGGGAAUAUUGCACAAUGGGCGGAAGCCUUAUGCAGCGACGCCGCGUGGGGGAUGACGGCCUUCGGGUUGUAAACCUCUUUCGACAGGGACGAAGCUUCGGUGACGGUACCUGUAUAAGAAGCACCGGCUAACUACGUG
rnacentral:rRNA from 1 species